AGUAGUUCCUUCUUAUUCUGCAUUAUAAAUCCUUUUAUCACCAUGUAUAUUUCUACAGGGACUACUGCUAUCUUGCUUUGGUAGUUACAGUAAAUCAAGAUAAAGACACCAGUCUGCUUGGACUUGUGGAGAGGUAGCAAACAGCAGUUUGCUCAUUUUGGAAGAAAGUUCCUGACUGAGGUUCUUUAGAUGCGUUUAAUGGAGGGGCAGCUGUGCAAAAGCAUCACUGUUUCACUCUUUUCCAGACUGAUCAAAUGAAGCGUCUGUCAUGUCACACAUAUGGAGUUCUCUACCAACAGUAAAGGCUAUUUAGUCAAGGUUAGAAAAAAAUAUUGUGUUGGAUUUUUGCUUAUGAUAUGUUUUGGAUUUUUCUUUGAAGCUCUGAUUUGAAAGAUAUACAGAAAGAUAUGGCUUGAGGGAAGAAAUAUGAAUAUUAUCCUCAACUACUCCCAUGUUCAUACCAUCAGGUAUCCUGCGAGUUGGAGGCAUCACACUGCACCUUGGGUAUCCUUGAGGAGAAAUCCUUUGGUAAAGACUCUAGUCCUAUGGAUUGGCAGAAAUUCUCAGUCUGGUGUCUGACAGCUCCUCCUGUGCACGUUUUGAAUUUACUGGGCAUGUGUCAGACUCCUGAGGGGAAGACAUCUCCUGCUCUCCAAAGAACUGAAAUUCCAUCACAAUGAAUUUCAUUUGUUUGAGAAUGACAAGUAGAAUUACCUUUAUUUUAAGCUGGCUUGGCAAUUAUAAUUCAUGCUGUGCCCCGUCACAAUUAUCAAAGUGAGGAACUCCUC
rnacentral:lncRNA from 1 species